GGUUUUCUGCAGAGUCCACUCUGUGGUCUGCAGACUCUGAGGUUGAUGAGCUGCAGGUUGUCAGAGAUCAGCUGUUCUUCUCUGGUCUCAGCUCUGAAGUCCAACCCCUCCCUCCUGAAACAUCUGAAACUUCUGGAGCUGAGCUGGAACCGUGUGCAGGAUUCAGGAGUUUCUCAGCUGUGUGGUUUUCUGCAGAGUCCACUCUGUGGUCUGCAGACUCUGAGCUUGUGGGGCUGCAGUUUGUCAAAGAUCAGCUGUUCUUCUCUGGCCUCAGCUCUGAAGUCC